rnacentral:lncRNA from 1 species
AGCACGGUCACUCAACUGUUAUAAUCGGAAUAAUUAUCAGAGUUUAAAACACUUUUAAGCCUAUGCGCAUUUUAACCUUUUAAAAAAACUGCUUUUAAUUAUUUUAGGAAAUAUUUGAACGUCAUUUAAAAUGCGUCUUUGGAUCACGCCACAUGAAAUGCACCCGCAGUCCAAGAUACAUUUUAUUUAACGUUGUUAAGAUUUGGAUUUGAGUCACAUGAACUGCACACCUGAGUUUAGCAAGUAAUUUUUAAAAUAGCACGCCUAAAAUAUCUACGUACUUUCAAGUUUGCGAGGGCCAUGAAAAGUUCGCUAAUGACACACUUCGUUUCUAAAGGAUUCAAAUUAAUUAAAUGAGUGCCAUGGGUUAUGGAAAAGCUGUGAGAAAAAUGUAGUAUUUGGUUAAAGUUUUAUUAAUAAACAAAAAAUGGGUUAACUUAUAUCUAACCCAGUUUAUUUCUAAUGUCCACCAUCAGUAAAAUAACAAUUAAACUCCACAGGAUCACUAAACACAUUAGAUCAUUUAAACAACUCUCAGUAUUCAUGUAGCAAGCUUGGCCAGUAGCACUUAAGAAUAAAUAUGCAAAUCUCGUAUGACUAAUGUCAAGCUUGACUAUAUUAUCGAAGUCUACAUUUCUCAUUUCAACAGGAAUGAGCCGAUAUAAUUUGGCCUUUUUUUGCCUUUCAAGUCAAUGCCAAUGAAGGUCCAUUAGUAUUCAUUCAUCUCUAAAUAAAGUAAACAAAUUCAUUUUGAUUAUCCACCUCACGUCAAGCAGACAGUGCCAAAGUGGCUUUUAGCUCUUAGCAUAUUUACCAAAUAUUUACAAAUAUGAAAUGAACAAGAUGCCAAAACAUUUCUUAGCAGAACAUAUUACAGUAAUUUAGAUAUAUACGAAAGAGAAUAAACGAACGAUGGUAAAAUCCCAACACAUCCAAACAACUAUCUCAAUGGCAACUCAUUGUCGGAUAACAAACUUGCCAAUAAAUAACAAUGAACAAUGGUGGCAUAACAUGAACUUACUGCCUUUACUAAUGAGUAGUAGAAAAUCACAAAGUAAUCCUCAAUCCUAAAAAAAACCAUUUACUCCUCAAGGCAUUCAAAUGGAAGCAGUACGUAGAUCAGAGCUUGAAUUAUUAGAAUAAUUGAUUCAAACAUUGGGAGCAAAGCACCGCAUGUGCCAGUUAAGCAUUGGCAGAUGAACACCCAGAAACUGAAACAAAUACUUCUAUCGAGCAAAAGAAAACUCAUUGAGAAAGAAGAGUCGCUUACUUUCAAAGCAACAAUAACUAUGCCUACUCACAAACACGUUAGAAUCAGCAACUAAACAACAAUUAACCAGACAAAUUCGAGAUUCCUAAAUUUGAAGGCAACAAGAUAAACCAGCAGCAACGCGUCAGUACGAUGGCAGCUACCAGAUUUUAAAAUUUUAAAACAAAUCCUAGCUUGAACUCGCAAACACACACGAAUAAAUUUCAGUAGAAAAUUCAUGAAAUAAUCCUCCAAACGAGUUUAGAAUUCGACUAGGAACAAAACAGACAUGGAGUUUCCAGAUUCAAACUAAACCAUGGUAGGUUACGAACACAGACAAACAUGGAAUCACGAGCGAUAAAGAAAAGGAUAAGAGAUGAACCUGAGUUGCAAAAACUUAGAUUAACUCUGCCCUGAACCCGAUACAAGUGAAUUUGAUAAUAAAAACUCGAAAGAACAACGACUACAAUGCGUUAGGAUGCAAGAACCACGAACUUGAACAUGAAACUCAUGUUGGAGAGAGAGGCAAAGACCAUGUGCAAGGCGUUCGUGGUGAAACUCAUUCUAAAACUCAACCGAGUUGGACGAAUUCGGGCGAGUAGACUUGGGGUUAGGGGUUGUGCGCCGCCUUGAGG